CCGGCACGGGUGAGUAACACGUAUCCAACCUGCCGUCUACUCUUGGACAGCCUUCUGAAAGGAAGAUUAAUACAAGAUGGCAUCAUGAGUUCACAUGUUCACAUGAUUAAAGGUAUUCCGGUAGACGAUGGGGAUGCGUUCCAUUAGGUAGUAGGCGGGGUAACGGCCCACCUAGUCUUCGAUGGAUAGGGGUUCUGAGAGGAAGGUCCCCCACAUUGGAACUGAGACACGGUCCAA
rnacentral:rRNA from 1 species